UACAGAGGGUGCAAGCGUUAAUCGGAGUUACUGGGCGUAAAGGGCGCGUAGGUGGUUUAGUAAGUGAGUUGUGAAAUCCCUGGGCUUAACCUAGGAACUGCAACUUAUACUGUUAGACUUGAGUACUGUAGAGGGUAGUGGAAUUUCCGGUGUAGCGGUGAAAUGCGUAGAUAUCGGGAGGAACACCAGUGGCGAAGGCGACUUCCUGGCCUGUUCUUGACGCUGAGGCGCGAAAGCUAGGGGAGCAAACGGG
rnacentral:rRNA from 1 species